rnacentral:lncRNA from 1 species
CCCCGCCCCCCCCCGGCGCGCGGGGGGGACACACGGGGGACAGGGGACGCGCAGGGGACACGGGACCGUCAGGGGACAGGGAUGGACAAGGGAUAUGGGACAUUCAGGGGACACAGGCAGGGACAGGGGACACAGGACAGACAGAACACAGGGAACAGGCAGGGGAUGCAGGCAGGGACAGGGGACACAUGGGACAUUGAGGGGACACAGGCAGGGACAGGGGACACGCAGGGGACAGGGAUGGACAGGGGACACAGGACAGACGGAACACAGGGGACAUCCAGGGGACACAGGCAAGGACAGGGUCGUGGCAGGCAGGGGACAGGCAGGGGACAGGAGGGAGGGGAUGGGGAAGAGAGCCUGUUCAGGGCUGGAUCCCCGUGUCCCCCGGGAUCCUCCUGGGAUCAGGGGAUCACUGUGUCCCCCCCCAGGGACCCUCCUGGGAUCAGGGGAUCCCCACGUGUCCCCCGGGAUCCUCCUGGGAUUGGGGAUCCCUGUGUCCCCUGGGAUCCUCCCGGGAUUGGGAUACGUGAUCCAGGGGAUGCCCAUGCCCCUCAGUGGAUCCUCCUGGGAUCAGGGGAUCCCUGUGUCUCCCUCCGGGAUCCUGCUGGAAUCAGGAAUCCCCACGUGUCCCCCCUCCAGGAUCCUCCUGGGAUCGGGGCUCCCCAUGUCCCCCCCGCCAGGGAUCCUCCCGGGAUCAGGGGAACCCCAUGUCUCCCUCGGGGAUCCUCCCGGGACGGGGGAUCCCCGCGUGCCCCCCCCGCCGGCGGCUCCCGCUCACCGGCGGCCACAAAGAGGAUGCCGGCGCCCAGGAUGAUGUUGCGCCUGGACUUGUAGACGCGGCUGGCGGCGACGCAGAAGCCGCCGAGGAGCAGCAGGAUGGCGCUGAGGAUGGGGAAGAUGCUCGAGGCCC